UGGACUCCGGGGAAUUGAGGAUCAGAUUCAGGGUGUUUUUCAGCGAUACCGGCCAGUGCUCGAUCGGUCCGAGUGAAGUCUGGC
rnacentral:tRNA from 1 species